UACAGCUGUAACUUGACCAUAUCCAAGACAGAGCCAGGGGACUCAGCUACAUACUAUUGUUCCACUACAGCCAUCUAUGAGCAAACAUUUGAAGAGGGAACUGUUUUAAUUGUCAAAGGUGACUAAACAUUUGCUUCUUCAUUUUAAAAAUGUAUGGCACUGUAUAUUAGUAUGUUUUUGCAACUAGUUCAUCAAAUGCUAGUGAUGAAUACAUGGCUUGUUUUUCACCCACUUAGUUUUACUUUAGUUACUCACUCUCUUCAGACUCAGAGUCCAACAGCAUGUCUGUGCUCCAGCAGCCUGUGUCUGAAUCCGUCCAGCCAGGAGACUCUGUAACUCUGAACUGUACAAUACACACUGAGACCUGUGCAGGAGAACACAGUGUCUAUUGGUUCAGACAUGGCUCUGGAGAAUCCUGCUCAGGAAUCAUUUACACCCAUGGAGACAGGAGUGAUCAGUGUGAGAAGAGCUCUGAGGCUGGGUCUCCUACACAGAGUUGUGUCUACAACCUCCCGAAGAGGAACCUCAGCCUCUCUGAUGCUGGAAGUUACUACUGUGCUGUGGCCUCAUGUGGGGAGAUACUGUUUGGAGACGGGACCAAGCUGGACAUUGAUCGUAGGUGAUACUUCUGACAUCUAUAUAAUCAAAG